rnacentral:lncRNA from 1 species
CGGAGACCAUAUUUUUUUGGUUGAUAAUUUAUAAGACUUCCUCGAAGAGAAUAUUAAAUUAUUGGACGAUCAUUUCUGUUUAAAUUCUUAUUUCGAGAUACUUUUUUAGUUGAUCACAUCCGAUUAAUGGAAUUUUUUGUAUUUUUGUUGUUCAUAGAAACGCUGAAUGGAAAAAUGGUGGUUGAUUUAGGACGCGAACGAAUCGCGAUGCGAUCUUUCCCUUUUUCUUAAACGCGAUUGGUCGACUAAGCCGUCGAAAUUCUAUUUGUCGUCUAAAACAACGUCGUGACGACAAUGAUUCUUAUGUGAUUGUCGUCAUUGUUUCCGCCAAUACGAGCGCGUGUUGCAUUCUAACGAAUAGGAAAAGGAAAGACGAACGAUCGAAAACAAAUAAAAUUAAUACUCAUUUAUUAUUCGACGACGUAGUUUAACCUAUCGAAAACAAAAAGAAGAGAGAAAUAGAUCCUGGAUUAUAGGGUUCGAUGCGCGAUUGGAAUUUCUUCAAAUGACGUUCUCCAUUUUGAUGGUAGUAAUAGUAGAAGUGAGGGUAGUGGCGAUAGUCGGUGACGAAUAACAAAAAUAUCAGGAGCAAUUUCCACCGACGUAUUUCCAGUGGCGAUGUAGUCUCGAUGCUACACCAUCGCAUCAUCAUCACCAUCGAACAACGAGGCAUCCUCCUCAUUCUCGUUUCUCUCCUUUACAUGUAUACCAGUCCUAUUCUUAGCGCUCGCGUAUCGCGAGUAACGGGCUGGACGAUGACGACUCAUAGCUAAAGCAAAAGAAAGAAAUAAAGAAAGAGAAAAAAAGAAAGAAAGAAAGAAACAACAUGCAGGCAGUCAGGCAGGCAGGCAGUCAGUCAGGCAGAUGGAAGGAAGGAUGGAAUGAGAGAGGGGACAAUGGAA